GAAACUCUGUUCCGCACGUAUUUAUAACUCGGAACAAGAAAAGGAGGCUGGGUUAAGUGAGGAUGUACAUGUGAGUGGGGGCUUAAGGCAUUAAGUCGUGGCGUUAUUAUUAGCGCAGAGAGGAGAGAGACAGAGAGAGACAGAGAGAAUGGACAAUAAUUCUGCAAUCUUUCAAAAGCCGGAACAUGCAGAGGUAACAUUUCCAACCCUCUGAUGGGCCACUCCCCAUCACCGCAGAUCACAUGCCAUGCAACUUUUGGAUUUAGUUUUCACCAUCAUCAUCGUUCAUCAUCGGCUAAAUUAUUACGCAGGCCGACCGAUCAGGAGAGAAAACAACUUUUUGGAGGAUCUUCGAGAUUAGACAUUCAUGACGGUUUGAGUAAUCAGAUCUGCAAUGAACAUGUGUUCUGCAGGGUGAGUUGGUCAGCUGUUGAAGCCAUCAUUAGGCGAGUCUAUCUUGGCGCUUAAGCUAUAAUCAUAAGCAUGUUAAGCCAGUAAUAAAGUAUGUGUUCUACACUUGGAAAAAUGGCGUUUUGCACAUGUCUUUAUACAUACGCGGUUAGAUUGCUUGUUGACCUCGUCUUGUAUUUUAUGUUUGUCACGAGCGUUGAAGAAACAUUUUAUGCAUCUGUCAUUAUAAUAUAUGGGUUGCCAAUGAUUAUAAA
rnacentral:lncRNA from 1 species